UGUGUGUUAGUGGAAGCGUCUGGAAAGGCGCGCGAUACAGGGUGACAGCCCCGUACACAAAAGCGCAUGUGCUGUGAGCUCGAUGAGUAGGGCGGGACACGUGGUAUCCUGUCUGAAUAUGGGGGGACCAUCCUCCAAGGCUAAAUACUCCUGACUGACCGAUAGUGAACCAGUACCGUGAGGGAAAGGCGAAAAGAACCCCGGCGAGGGGAGUGAAAAAGAACCUGAAACCGU
rnacentral:rRNA from 3 species